UUUUUUUUUCUUAUUAGGGUUGUACCUGCGGCAUAUGGAGGUCCCCAGGUGAGGGGUUUAAUCGGAGCUGCAGCUACUGGCCUCUGCCACAACCACAGCCACCUACACCACAGCUCGCGGCAACGCUGGAUCCUUAACCCACUGAACAAGGCCAGGGAUCAAAGUAGUUUCCUCAUGGAUACUAGUCAGGUUCUUAAUCCGCUGAGCCANGAACUCUGGAAUGAAUUUUUAAAUUUAUCAUGCCUUUUCCUUCCCCUCCAGUUCUUUCUGAACGUACACACCGCAUCCGUGGGGGACUGGAACCAGCAUCUGUGGGGGACCCCACAGUCCGGAGAGAGGCUCAGGCCCCAGAGACGCCCUCUGAGCCUGUAGGUUCCGCCUCCAAGGAGUCAGCCAACCACUGGUGUGAGUUAAGUUUGAGACCUGCAUUUGUUUGAAUCUGUGGGUGUGGAAGCACAAGCAGAGAGGGCUGUUUAUUGGGAAAAAACAUCCACAUACCAAGGGACCCACACAAUUCAAAUCCCUUUUGUUUUGUGCUAGUGAUGAUUUCGGAUGUUUUAGAAAGUGAACAAAGUGUGUAGUUCAGCAAUAUAUCUGCUUUCCUCGUAAACAACGCAGAGCUCUAAGAGGAAUAUGCUUUUGGUUUUGGUUUCAGUAUUAUAGAUUAAUGGACCUAAUUUCACUUGGGAACCAUGAAUAUACACUAACCUCACAAAACGAAUGGGCCCAUUUAUUCGUUUAUUCAUUUAAAGUGCAGAAUGGCUUUUUCAGGUCUGGUAGAUGUGAGACCCAAAAUCACAUUUGAAGCUGUAACCCUAUCAAACGAUAAUCAGAGACAGAAGUAGGACAAAAAUCAUCUGUAGCCAUUUUACUAAUAUCAGUUUGUCAAUAUUUGUUUAAUUUGUUUCUUAACAUUCUAAAAUGUUCCUCUUAGACUCUAACAAGUUGCCUUCCUACAAAACUUUUUUUUUCUUUACUUUUUUUUCUGGCUGCACCUGUAGCAUAUGGAAGUUCCCAGACCACAGACUGAAUUUGAGCGGCAGCUGCAACCUCCACCACAGCUGCCACAAUGCCAAGUCUCCUUAACCCACUUUGCCAGGCCGGGGAUCAAACCUGCUCUGCUACAGGGACAAACGCUGGAUUCUUAACCCUCUGAGCCACGGGGGAACAUCCCUACAAAACACUUUUAGAAAGUAUUUUCUUUCUGGCCUUUAAAAAAUAAAAUUCUUUAAAAUAUUUUCCAUCAAUGCAUUUUACAGUUAAUACAUUUUAAAUUAUUGACAUUUUAAAUUGAUUUUUCUCCUUAGAACUUACUUUUAAUUAAGGAAAAAUUCUCUAUAGGUGCUAAGAUACUUGGUAGGUCAGAGUAAAUCCUGCUAAAUGGAGAAUAUUUUAAUAAUUUUGUGUUAAAAUGGGUAAAUAUGUGUCUAAAUAUUUCCAUAGGCAUCACCAUUUUGCCUUUAUUUAUUAGUACCUCCCUUUGGCAAACAUUUAUAAGACAAGGCUCAUGACAUAAACUGUCUUUCUUUCAUGAUUCUUUUGAAUUGAGGUGACACAAGUUGAGACUUCUAUGGUAUUCUGCUAUAGAACAUGAAUUUAUCCAAAAUAAAUAAGUUACAUGGAAAUAUUGUUUCUAUACAUCUAGAUAAUCCAGGAUGCAAUUAUAGAUAUUCACAGCUAAAUCUAGCCUAUUUCUUGAGCUCUCAUCACUGACUUUGUUCACUUCUUUCUUCGCUUUCAACUUUGAGCUGGAAGCGGUAACUAGAUAGGUCCUUAGGUGUUUCAGUUUCAUUUCCAAGAAUUCCUUUUGUUUAAAUCUAGAAAUACUGAAGAUUUUUAGCCUUUUCACUUGUCAAAUAUUUCGAUUACAGCUCUCCAACUGAUUUCGAAGAAAAUAUACUCUAAAUGUAUAGAACUUGCUUACAAACGGGUUGACAUCCUUGUAAGGACCCCCUUGUAAGGACCCCCUAGGUUGAUUUACAGUCAUUCUUAAACCUUAAGACAUUUCCAAAAUUUGAACAGUGGUGGGCAGCAAAAACAAAAUGCCCUAUCUUGCACAAGGAUCUGUUUUCCUUUUGUAUUUAAAUCAACCGUGUCACAAAAAUUUUGUAUUUCAGUUCUAGUGAAUAUUUAAAUUGCCGAUGUAGGAAUCUUGACAACCAGUGCGUCUUUUAACUGGUAGGAUAUGGUAUACUGUUAAGGUUGUGUUUGUUUGUACUCCACAACCACAUCUACCGAUCAAAUCUACACAUGGAAAAAGCUAAUGUUUUACUUUUAGUAUGCAUACAAGAAAUCCUGUAAUUGAAAAUGAAAUAAAUAUAGCAUGGGUCCUUUGAUCCAAAUGAAAAUUCACAUUUCAUGAGUGAUAUAAAUGCAUCUAACGGACACGGAAAGCAAACUCGUGGUUCCCAAGUGGGGGGGGAGGAUAAAGUAGGAGUUUGGUACUAACUCAUACACAACACAGAACAUAGCGGGCCGCCAAGGACCUACCGUACUGCCCAGGGCACUCUCUUCGGUUCUCUAGUGACCUAUAGGGAAAAGAAUCGGAAAAAGAAUAUUUAUAUACCGAAUAAAUGUGCCAUACACCCAAAGCCAACACAACAUUGUAGAUCAACUAUACUUCAAUUAAAAAGUACGUUUAAAAAUUUAAAAAAUGCAUUUGCACAUAAUUUUUUUUUUGGGGGGGGUCUUUUUGCCUUUCUCUUGAGCUGCUCCUGCAGCAUAUGGAGGUUCCCAGGCUAAUCAGAGCUGUGGCCACUGGCCUACGCCAGAGCCACAGCAAUGCAGGAUCUGAGCCGCAUCUGCAACCUACACCACAGCUCACGGCAACGCCGGAUCCUUAACCCACUGAGGAAGACCAGGGAUCGAACCUGCAACCUCAUGGUUCCUAGUCAGAUUCAUUAACCACUGCACCACGACGGGAACUCCCGACACAUAAUUUUUUUAUCUUCUUGGAAUAAUCCCUAACUUCCGAAGUAGCUGUUUGUGCUUCCCUGGAUUUUGUCCUCCAGGUGUCUCAUGGUCUCUUGUGACCCUGCAGCUCACAUGGUAACUGGCAAAUGUUGGCAAAUAUUUUGCUCAAUGCACAGUCCUCAUUAAGUUUAGUACGAAAUGCAGAUUACUUCAUUUUUCACUGAACAGUUAACUUUCUUUUUAAAAAUUAUUUUGCCCAAAUUUAUUGCAGAAUUUAAAAGAGCAAUUCAUAAAUGGAUGACAUUUGCAGAUAACAUACUUAUAAUAUAAUUCAAAUGAUUAGUGGUUGCUGGGAGUUAAAGAUGGGGGGAUGGGCGUGGCUUUCCAGGGAUAGCUGGGGAA
rnacentral:lncRNA from 1 species